rnacentral:rRNA from 1 species
UACGAGGACCCUCAAGCGUUGUCCGGAUUUAUUGGGCGUAAAGGGCGCGUAGGGUGUUUUGCGCGUCUUCCGUUAAAUUUCACCGCUCAACGGUGAAACCGCGGAGGAUACGGCAAAACUAGAGGGCGUAAGAGGCAGAUGGAACGCACGGUGUAGGGGUGAAAUCCGUUGAUAUCGUGCGGAACACCAAAGGCGAAGGCAUUCUGCUGGGACGUUCCUGACCCUGAGGCGCGAAAGCGUGGGGAGCAAAC